AGGAAGAAUACUCUUACGAUCCAAAAGGAAGACACAGUCUCUGCCUUGAGAAAGUCUUUGGAUUUUCCGCAAGGUUUGCAGAUACUGAAUCUCAAGAAAGACUCAACACUGGCUUGAGGGGAAAAAGGAAACUGCACAGGAAAAUCUGGUCUCGCCAAUCACACAACAAAACGAACGAUACCGAGCAGCUGAAUAAUGCUGUUGAGGGCCUGGAGCUCACAGAUCUAAACGAGUCACUCUCGGUUAUUAGUCUUUGCCCUCU